rnacentral:rRNA from 1 species
AACGAACGCUGGCGGCAGGCUUAACACAUACAAGUCGAACGCCCCUUCGGGGGAGUGGCAGACGGGUGAGUAACGCGUGGGAAUCUACCCAGUUCUACGGAACAACAGUUGGAAACGACUGCUAAUACCGUAUACGCCCUACGGGGGAAAGAUUUAUCGGAAUUGGAUGAGCCCGCGUAAGAUUAGCUAGUUGGUGAGGUAAUGGCUCACCAAGGCGACGAUCUUUAGCUGGUCUGAGAGGAUGAUCAGCCACACUGGGACUGAGACACGGCCCAGACUCCUACGGGAGGCAGCAGUGGGGAAUAUUGGACAAUGGGCGCAAGCCUGAUCCAGCCAUGCCGCGUGAGUGAUGAAGGCCUUAGGGUUGUAAAGCUCUUUCAGUAGGGAAGAUAAUGACGGUACCUACAGAAGAAGCCCCGGCUAACUUCGUGCCAGCCGCCGCGGUAAUAC